CCGGACGGGUUAGUAACGCGUGAGAAUUUACCUUUAGGAGGGGGACAACAGUUGGAAACGGCUGCUUAAUACCCCAUAUGCUUUCGAGUGAAAUGGAUUUUUCCGCCUAGAGAGAAGCUUGCGGCUUGAUUAGCUUGUUGGUGAGGUAAUGGCUUACCAAGGCGACGAUCAGUAUCUGGUUUGAGAGGACGAUCAGACACACUGGAACUGAGACACGGUCCAGACUCCUACGGGAGGCAGCAGUGGGGAAUUUUCCGCAAUGGGCGAAAGCCUGACGGAGCAAUCUCUCGCGUGAGGGAUGACUGCCUAUGGGUUGUAAACCUCUUUUUUCAGGGACGUGAAUUAAUGACGUUACCUGAACUGAAUAAGCAUCGGCUAACUCCGUGCCAGCAGCCGCGGUAAGACGGAGGAUGCAAGUGUUAUCCGGAAUCACUGGGCGUAAAGCGUCUGUAGGUGGUUUAGUAAGUCAACUGUUAAAUCUUGAAGCUUAACUUCAAAAUCGCAGUCGAAACUAUUAGACUAGAGUAUAGUAGGGGUAAAGGGAAUUUCCAGUGGAGCGGUGAAAUGCGUAGAGAUUGGAAAGAACACCGAUGGCGAAGGCACUUUACUGGGCUAUUACUGACACUCAGAGACGAAAGCUAGGGUAGCAAAUGGGAUUAAGAUACCC
rnacentral:rRNA from 1 species